UACGAAGGGGGCUAGCGUUGCUCGGAAUUACUGGGCGUAAAGCGCACGUAGGCGGUCUUUUAAGUCGGGGGUGAAAUCCUGGAGCUCAACUCCAGAACUGCCUUCGAUACUGGAUGACUCGAGUCCGGGAGAGGUGAGUGGAACUGCGAGUGUAGAGGUGAAAUUCGUAGAUAUUCGCAAGAACACCAGUGGCGAAGGCGGCUCACUGGCCCGGUACUGACGCUGAGGUGCGAAAGCGUGGGGAGCAAA
rnacentral:rRNA from 1 species